AUGACGGGUUAGGAACUUAGUUGUUAAUUCUCUUCAGAGCCACACUGUUCUCUGGUAACUCACUCUUUCUCCCUCUGGUUUCAAAGCUUGGCACUACGUAUGUAAGACCAAGCAGAAAAUGAUCUAAAGGCCAAAUGGCAAUUUAUGACAUUAACUCAUUAACUCUCCUACUUGCGGAAAGGCUCAGGAUGAAUUCAGUACCAAAAAAAGGAAAAAAAGUCAAGCUACAUUUGAUUCCUGGGAGUAUGAGUCAGAGCACAAAUACUUGGGCCCUGCUUCGCGUUAGGCGCCCUUCUCGACUCUGAGGACACAGGAAACAAACGAGUGAGACUCGCUGCCCUUAUGAAGAGUUCGUUCUAGCGGGGAGGACGUCCGGUGUACAAAUAAACACGAUGGCAGCAAGUGCAUCGGCUACAUUUCACCUUAUUUUGAGCUGUGCUAUCGAGGCUCCCAAACCCAUGGGAUCACGACGUAUGGUUGAGACUGCCGGCUGUUUACCAAGAUCCAUUUCCUGCUGCUGUGGGGCACAGACUUUUCUGGUCACCAUUACAGUCUGGCGCGGCCACAUGGUCAUAAAUGAGUAACUCUUUACUGUCAUCUAAUAUCCACCGGGCGUUCGCCUUUCCUGGACUGUCUCAUAAACGCCUUUUACUGUUGGCUUUUUAAAAUAAAUUUUGUUAAUUUGUUUUGAGACACAGAGGGAGGGAGAGAGAACAAGUGGGGGAGGGGCAGAGAGAGGGAGAGAGAGAGUCCCAAGCAGGCUCUGCGCUGUCAGUGCAGAGCCUGACGUAGGACUUGAACUCACGAACCGUGAGAGCAGGACCGGAGCCAAAAUCAAGAGUCAGAUGCUUAACCAACGGAGCCACCCAGGCACCCCUACUGUUGGCGUCUUUCAAUCCGGAUCUGAACAAAGUCUACCCGUGGCAUCUGGACGACAUGUCUUUAAGACAGUGUUAAUCUAGAAUCAUUCCAGCUCCCUCUUUUGUUUCUUUGCUGGAUGUAAGGAAAUUGUUAAAUGACCUGCUAAGCGUGAUGGCUUCUGUCUAGCAUCAGCCGAUGCCUAAAGGUAAAAUAUACACUCAUGGCAAGACCCUCUGCUUGUGCUGUUGGCCGUCCGUUCACGUUUCAAUCUUGAUAAGUGUGAAUUUUCGGCAGAUCUGAUCAGAUUGCUUUUGUUUUCCUCCGGGCUGUGGUUGUUCCAAAGCUCAGACUAGCGUUGCUCUUUUCUUGCCGUUCGUUCACUGGGCUUACGUCAUCGGCCUUUAGUUCUUCAUUUCUUUGCAUUAACCUUUUAAAACUACCUGUUCGGCUUUUGAGAGUUAACAUUUUAUGUCUUUUUA